rnacentral:rRNA from 1 species
UCCCGGGAACGUAUUCACCGCGCCGUGGCUGAUGCGCGAUUACUAGCGAAUCCAGCUUCACGAAGUCGAGUUGCAGACUCCGAUCCGAACUGAGAGUGGUUUUAGAGAUUAGCAUCAUGUUGCCAUGUAGCUGCCCUUUGUACCACCCAUUGUAACACGUGUGUCGCCCCGGACGUAAGGGCCGUGCUGAUUUGACGUCAUCCCCACCUUCCUCACAUCUUACGAUGGCAGUCUCAUUAGAGUCCCCAGCUUAACCUGAUGGCAACUAAUGAUGAGGGUUGCGCUCGUUAUGGCACUUAAGCCGACAUCUCACGACACGAGCUGACGACA